ensembl:lncRNA novel transcript
AGGCUUUUCAGUCACAGCACCCUCUGUGACAAACGUGUGGAGCACCGCACGACUUCUUCAACCAGCUGGUUUUUCUGGCAUUCGAAUAAAAGUAAAAAUAGAAAACAAAGAGGGAGAAGAAAAGUGACAAGCUGAAACCUGCGAAGAGAAAGAGGACAAGAAAUGAACAAGUUGAUCUGGUCUUGAGGGAGGAGGAGGCACAGGAACACAGUAAAGGAACCUAUCUGAGGAGCUGCAGACAUGAACCAACAAAGCCAGAAGAGCCUGAAGCAAUACUGCAAGUGGGUGCUUUGGUACUGCUUUGAAGCAUCUUUCCAGACUCUGCAGUAGCCAAGGCCUGUGACUCCAGUCCCUGAGAAAGUACCAUCAGGAGCAAUACGUAAGCUUUUCAGGGACAAAGAACCUUGUCCUCUUAAUCUGGAUUCACAAUUCACAAUUAUACCCCUAGCCUGCCCAACGCCUUUUUCUCAGUCUCUGAGAAGUAUUGACUCUCUUUUACCUAAGAGCAGGAGUCUGAAAACUACAGCCUAUGGGCCAAAUCUCUUCUGUUGUGUCCCACAAGGUAACAGUCGCAGUUACAUUUUUAAUUGGUUAAAAAAAUCAAUCAAAAGAACAACACUAUUUUAUAAGAUGAGAAAGAUAUUUAAAAUUCAAAUAUAAAUGCCGAUGAAUAAAAUUUUAUUGG